UACGGAGGGUGCAAGCGUUAUCCGGAUUCACUGGGUUUAAAGGGUGCGUAGGAGGGCAGGUAAGUCAGUGGUGAAAUCUUCGAGCUUAACUCGGAAACUGCCGUUGAUACUAUCUGUCUUGAAUACCGUGGAGAUGAGCGGAAUAUGCCAUGUAGCGGUGAAAUGCUUAGAUAUGACAUAGAACACCAAUUGCGAAGGCAGCUCGUUACACGAAUAUUGACUCUGAGGCACGAAAGCGUGGGGAUCAAACAGG
rnacentral:rRNA from 1 species